GACGAACGCUGGCGGCGCGCCUAACACAUGCAAGUCGAACGGAGCUGCGAGAAGCUUGCUUUUCUUAGCUUAGUGGCGAACGGGUGAGUAACGCGUGAGUAACCUGCCCUGGAGUGGGGGACAACAGUUGGAAACGACUGCUAAUACCGCAUAAGCCCACGAUCCGGCAUCGGAUUGAGGGAAAAGGAUUUAUUCGCUUCAGGAUGGACUCGCGUCCAAUUAGCUAGUUGGUGAGGUAACGGCCCACCAAGGCGACGAUUGGUAGCCGGACUGAGAGGUUGAACGGCCACAUUGGGACUGAGACACGGCCCAGACUCCUACGGGAGGCAGCAGUGGGGGAUAUUGCACAAUGGGGGAAACCCUGAUGCAGCGACGCCGCGUGGAGGAAGAAGGUUUUCGGAUUGUAAACCCCUGUCGUUAGGGACGAUAAUGACGGUACCUAACAAGAAAGCACCGGCUAACUACGUG
rnacentral:rRNA from 1 species